rnacentral:rRNA from 1 species
UGACAAGAAAUAACAAUACAAGGCAGUUAAAAUGCUUUGUAAUUGGAAUGAUAGAAAUUUAAACACUUUUUAAAGUAUCAAUUGGAGGGCAAGUCUGGUGCCAGCAGCCGCGGUAAUUCCAGCUCCAAUAGCGUAUAUUAAAAUUGUUGCAGUUAAAAAGCUCGUAGUUGAAUUUCUGUUAAAAAUAACCGGUCUGCUUUUAAUAAAAGUGGUAUCUUGGUGUGUUUUUAGCAAUAAUGUCCUUUGAAAUGUUUUUUACUUUAUUGUAAUAAAUAAUAUUCAGGAUUUUUACUUUGAGAAAAUUAGAGUGUUUCUAGCAGGCUAACGCUUUGAAUACUGCAGCAUGGAAUAAUAAGAUAGGAUUUUAGUUCUACAUUAUUGGUUUUAAGAACUAAAUUAAUGAUUGAUAGGGACAGUUGGGGGCAUUUGUAUUUAACUGUCAGAGGUGAAAUUCUUAGAUUUGUUAAAGACAAACUACUGCGAAAGCAUUUGCCAAAGAUGUUUUCAUUAAUCAAGAACGAAAGUUAGGGGAUC